AGCGAACGCUGGCGGCAGGCCUAACACAUGCAAGUCGAACGAACUCUUCGGAGUUAGUGGCGGACGGGUGAGUACCACGUGGGAACGUGCCCUUAGGUUCGGAAUCACUCAGGGAAACAUGUGCUAAUACCGCAUGUGCUCUUCGGGGGAAAGAUUUAUCGCCUUUAGAGCGGCCCGCGUCUGAUUAGCUAGUUGGUGAGGUAAAGGCUCACCAAGGCGACGAUCAGUAGCUGGUCUGAGAGGAUGAUCAGCCACAUUGGGACUGAGACACGGCCCAAACUCGUACGGGAGGCAGCAGUGGGGAAUCUUGCGCAAUGGGCGAAAGCCUGACGCAGCCAUGCCGGGUGAAUGAUGAAGGUCUUAGGAUUGUAAAAUUCUUUCACCGGGGACGAUAAUGACGGUACCCGGAGAAGAAGCCCCGGCUAACUUCGUG
rnacentral:rRNA from 1 species